rnacentral:rRNA from 1 species
CGGACGGGUGAGUAACGCGUGGGUAACCUGCCCUGUACAGGGGGAUAACAGCUGGAAACGGCUGCUAAUACCGCAUAAGCGCACGAGGAGACAUCUCCUUGUGUGAAAAACUCCGGUGGUACAGGAUGGGCCCGCGUCUGAUUAGCUGGUUGGCAGGGUAACGGCCUACCAAGGCAACGAUCAGUAGCCGGUCUGAGAGGAUGAACGGCCACAUUGGAACUGAGACACGGUCCAAACUCCUACGGGAGGCAGCAUG